UACGGGAGGCAGCAAUGGGGAAUAUUGCACAAUGGGCGAAAGCCUGAUGCAGCUAUGCCGCGUGUAUGAAGAAGGCCUUAGGGUUGUAAAGUACUUUCAUCGGGGAGGAAAAACAAAACUAAUAAUUUUAUUUCUUGACGUUACCCGAAAAAGAAGCACCGGCUAACUCCGUGCCAGCAGCCGCGGUAAUACGGAGGGUGCUAGCGUUAAUCAGAAUUACUGGGCGUAAAGAGCACGUAGGUGGUUUUUUUAAGUCAGAUGUGAAAUCCCUGGGCUUAACCUAGGAACUGCAUUUUGAAACUGAAAUACUAGAGUAUCGUAGAGGGAGGUAGAAUUCUAGGUGUAGCGGUGAAAUGCGUAGAUAUCUGGAGGAAUACCUGUGGCGAAAGCGGCCUCCUAAACGAAUACUGACACUGAGGUGCGAAAGCGUGGGGAGCAAACAGGGAUUAGAUACC
rnacentral:rRNA from 1 species